UGAUCAGCCACACUGGAACUGACACACGGUCCAGACUCCUACGGGAGGCAGCAGUGAGGAAUUUUGCGCAAGGGGGGAAACCCUGACGCAGCAACGCCGCGUGAGUGAUGAAGGCCUUCGGGUCGUAAAACUCUGUCAAGUGGGAAGAAAUUAUGUAAGGUUAAUACCCUUAUGUAUUGACGGUACCAUUGAAGGAAGCACCGGCUAACUCCGUGCCAGCAGCCGCGGUAAUACGGGGGGUGCAAGCGUUAUUCGGAAUUAUUGGGCGUAAAGGGCGCGUAGGCGGCCUGGUAAGUCAGAUGUGAAAGCCCGGGGCUUAACCCCGGAAGUGCAUUUGAUACUGCCAGGCUUGAGUAUGGGAGGGGGAAGUGGAAUUCCUGGUGUAGAGGUGAAAUUCGUAGAUAUCAGGAGGAACACCAGUGGCGAAGGCGACUUCCUAGACCAAUACUGACGCUGAGGCGCGAAGGCGUGGGGAGCAAACAGGAUUAGAUACCCUGGUAGUCCACGCAGUAAACGGUGAGAACUAGGUGUAGCGGGUAUUGACCCCUGCUGUGCCGCAGUUAACGCAUUAAGUUCUCCGCCUGGGGAGUACGAUCGCAAGAUUAAAACUCAAAGGAAUUGACGGGGGCCCGCACAAGCGGUGGAGCAUGUGGUUUAAUUCGACGCAACGCGAAGAACCUUACCUGGAUUUGACAUCUCGGGAAUUUCUAUGAAAGUAGAAAGUGCCCUUCGGGGAACCCGAAGACAGGUGCUGCAUGGCUGUCGUCAGCUCGUGUCGUGAGAUGUUGGGUUAAGUCCCGCAACGAGCGCAACCCUUAUCUUUAGUUACCAGCAUUUCGGAUGGGGACUCUAGAGAUACUGCCCCGGUUAACGGGGAGGAAGGUGGGGAUGACGUCAAGUCCUCAUGGCCUUUAUAUCCAGGGCUACACACGUGCUACAAUGGGCGGUACAAAGGGUCGCAAUCCCGCGAGGGGGAGCUAAUCUCAGAAAGCCGUCCUAAGUUCGGAUUGGAGUCUGCAACUCGACUCCAUGAAGCUGGAAUCGCUAGUAAUCGUGGAUCAACAUGCCACGGUGAAUACGUUCCCGGGCCUUGUACACACCGCCCGUCACACCAUGAGAGUUGAUUGUACCGGAAGUUGUCGGGCCAACCUUUCGAGGAGGCAGGCACCUAUGGUAUGGUUGAUGAUUGGGGUGAAGUCGUAACAAGGUA
rnacentral:rRNA from 1 species